AUUGAACGCUGGCGGCAGGCCUAACACAUGCAAGUCGCAAGAGUGGCGGACGGGUGAAUAAUGUCUGGGAAACUGCCCGAUGGAGGGGGAUAACUACUGGAAACGGUAGCUAAUACCGCAUACCCUCGGAUGUGCCCAGAUGGGAUUAGCUAGGAGGUGGGGUAACGGCUCACCGAGGCGACGAUCCCGAGCUGGCCUGAGAGGAUGACCAGCCACACUGUCACUGAGACACGGUCCAGACUCCUACGGGAGGCAGCAGUGGGGAAUAUUGCACAAUGGGCGCAAGCCUGAUUCAGCCAUGCCGCGUGUAUGAAGAAGGCCUUCGGGUUGUAAAGUACUUUCAGCGAGGAGGCGUUACUCGCAGAAGAAGCACCGGCUAACUCCGUGCCAGCAGCCGCGGUAAUAC
rnacentral:rRNA from 1 species